rnacentral:rRNA from 1 species
UACGAAGGGGGCUAGCGUUGCUCGGAAUCACUGGGCGUAAAGCGCACGUAGGCGGCUUCUUAAGUCAGGGGUGAAAUCCUGGAGCUCAACUCCAGAACUGCCCUUGAUACUGAGGAGCUUGAGUCCGGGAGAGGUGAGUGGAACUGCGAGUGUAGAGGUGAAAUUCGUAGAUAUUCGCAAGAACACCAGUGGCGAAGGCGGCUCACUGGCCCGGUACUGACGCUGAGGUGCGAAAGCGUGGGAGCAACAGGG